rnacentral:rRNA from 1 species
GACGUAGGGCGCGAGCGUUGUCCGGAUUUAUUGGGCGUAAAGAGCUCGUAGGCGGCUCGUUGCGUCGGCUGUGAAAACCCGCAGCUCAACUGUGGGCUUGCAGCUGAUACGGGCGGGCUGGGAUUCGGUAGGGGAGACUGAAAUUCCUGGUGUAGCGGUGAAAUGCGCAGAUAUCAGGAGGAACACCGGUGGCGAAGGCGGGUCUCUGGGCCGAUACUGACGCUGAGGAGCGAAAGCAUGGGUAGCGAACAGG